CAGUCGAACGCACAGCGAAAGGUGCUUGCACCUUUCAAGUGAGUGGCGAACGGGUGAGUAACACGUGGACAACCUGCCUCAAGGCUGGGGAUAACAUUUGGAAACAGAUGCUAAUACCGAAUAAAACUUAGUGUCGCAUGACACAAAGUUAAAAGGCGCUUCGGCGUCACCUAGAGAUGGAUCCGCGGUGCAUUAGUUAGUUGGUGGGGUAAAGGCCUACCAAGACAAUGAUGCAUAGCCGAGUUGAGAGACUGAUCGGCCACAUUGGGACUGAGACACGGCCCAAACUCCUACGGGAGGCUGCAGUAGGGAAUCUUCCACAAUGGGCGAAAGCCUGAUGGAGCAACGCCGCGUGUGUGAUGAAGGCUUUCGGGUCGUAAAGCACUGUUGUAUGGGAAGAACAGCUAGAAUAGGAAAUGAUUUUAGUUUGACGGUACCAUACCAGAAAGGGACGGCUAAAUACGUGCCAGCAGCCGCGGUAAUACGUAUGUCCCGAGCGUUAUCCGGAUUUAUUGGGCGUAAAGCGAGCGCAGACGGUUUAUUAAGUCUGAUGUGAAAGCCCGGAGCUCAACUCCGGAAUGGCAUUGGAAACUGGUUAACUUGAGUGCAGUAGAGGUAAGUGGAACUCCAUGUGUAGCGGUGGAAUGCGUAGAUAUAUGGAAGAACACCAGUGGCGAAGGCGGCUUACUGGACUGCAACUGACGUUGAGGCUCGAAAGUGUGGGUAGCAAACAGGAUUAGAUACCCUGGUAGUCCACACCGUAAACGAUGAACACUAGGUGUUAGGAGGUUUCCGCCUCUUAGUGCCGAAGCUAACGCAUUAAGUGUUCCGCCUGGGGAGUACGACCGCAAGGUUGAAACUCAAAGGAUUUGACGGGGACCC
rnacentral:rRNA from 1 species